rnacentral:lncRNA from 1 species
GAGAUUGUUUGUCAGUGACACAGAAUGUUGUGGAGGACUCGCAGCAGGGUUGUCACAGGUUCUGACCAACUCAGAUUCAAAGGACAACACUCCCAAAGAAUCAGGAGUGUCUGGAAUGUCAGGUGGUUGGAAGUCUCCCGGUGAAGGAGGAAGGGUUCUAACUGGAUUCUCUCUGAGCUGGCCCUUGAGGUUACCUUUAGGAGGUCUAGAGACAAAACAAUCAAUUAUAUUUGGACACGGAUGGCCCUGGCAUUUAUAUAGAGGCUCUAAAUGAAAUCCAUAUAGAAGAUACUGUCCAAUCAUGAACCCAACUUCAACCACAGAUCGAGUGAAAAUGUGUAUCACAUGAAGCCAGACUGCUCAUCAUUCCAGACAUCUUCAGCUGCUACACCCAGAACAAGCAUUCGAAAUAUGAACAGGAUGGUGAGCCAGAUCUUUCCAAUCAUGGUGGAGUGGAUGUGAACUUCCUCCAGAAUGCCCCCAAGGAAAUUCCAGUCCCCCAUGCUUAGUUAGCCUUCUUAGCUCUGAACCCCAUCAAAUAGGAGGCAGAUUAAUUCUUCCAUUCUGAAGGGUGUGCUAGUUCUUAAGCCAAACCUAUAGCCAAAAUAUGAACAAAGCAUCACUGUUUCAGCAUGCUGGUUGCUGUACUUUUUCCCUAGAAAGUUGUAAUAAUCUGUUAUCAAGGAUAUGUACAAGAUAUCAGUAAUUUUAAAUCAUUUAUGUUUAGACCUUAUAAUGCAAUGGGAGGAAAAAAAAAAGAUACCUGGGGGGUUGUAUAUAUUCUCUAUGAAGAGUAGAAUUGUAGGAGUCCCUGUAAAAAAGGUAUCUUCUUGCUUGGCUGAAGUUUGUUGUUGUUUUAUUUUUUUUAUCUGAGAACUUUUGGAGAGGUUCCUAAAAUUACCAACUUGAUCUUACAAACCUGUUUAUUAAGAUUAUUUCAUAUAAAAGCGAAACCCAAAGUCAAUGAUUUUUAAUUCUCAUUUAUGCACACAGGAAAAUUCAUGUGUUUCAUUUUGUAAUCCAGCAAGCUUAUAGCAUCAAAUGAAACUAAAGGAAAUAGAUCUGGCUCUUGCUAUAAGAAUUUAGAUUAGUUCUCCCAUCCAAGUUCUUUUAAUCCACAUCUGAAUGUCUAAAUUCUAGUUUCCUUCUGGCAGUUUUUGAGCAUUUUCAGAAAUCAUUUCAGUAAUAUAUCUGUGAAUAUUUAUAAAGUUAUUACUAUACUUUGGCAUAAAAAUUUUUGUGAAUUUUUAUUAUCUUAAACCCCAGAAAUUUUCAACUAUUAUAUGCUACCAGGAUGUUAUUAGAUAUUACUUGAAAUAAAUGGAUCAUUGGUAUAGUGGUAGCAUUAUAGACAUUUUCAUUGUAACAAUAUUUGACCUUGUUAGGAUAUGUAGCUUGCUUUGUGGAGGGAGCAGCAGGGAGAGUUAUAAUUUAGAUACUUGGAUUAUCAGCCAGUAGGUUUCAUAUUAGAGUUGAUAUCCUAUGAUAUCUAAGAGGAAAUAAAUCCCAAAGGAAAAAAGAGUGAAUAUUUUCAUUCACUUUCAUUUAAUAUAUAAAUGUAUGUCCUAUAUCCCUUAUAGAAAGGGAAAUAUUACACAGUCAGACAACAUACUGGGAUGUUAUAGCCACAAGAUAUGUUUAUCACAAAAAUCCUAUGAGUUAUGUAUGUUUCCCCAUUUUACAGAUGAGGAAACUGAGGCACACCUUAAGUUACCCAAGAUCACACAGCUAGAACUGGCAUUCAGACUCAGUCAAUAUGGCUCUGAAGUCAGCUCUUACCUGUUUUACUAAACUGUUAUUUUUUUCCUCUUCAAGCACACUCGAAACUUUCAUGAAAGAAAUAUUAGGACAUUACUUUUUCUCUUAAAAGUUUAAUUAUUUAAAUUAGGUAUGUCAAACAAUGAACAUUCUGACUUUUUAAGUCACAGGUUCUAGAGUCUUGAGUUCCUUUUUUAAAGAUUUAUAUAGUUCAAAAGACUUGCAAAAGCAUCAACCUAAAAUUUAGUCAUAUUCCUGAGACAGAGAAAAUUUAUAUUUGACUUUAUUAUGUUAAUGGUAGUAUACUCUUUGACCCAACAACCCAAAGUACUUUAAAGUGUAAGCAAAGCUAUUCUUUUUGUUGUUGAUUAUAACAAUCAUACCUUGAAAACAUCCAAAAUAAUUAUCGAGAAAGAUUGUAUUGUACAUAUAAAUAAUAGUAUGUCCACAGUGUGGUACUAUGAAUCCAGUAGAAAUAAUAAAUAUAUACUAAAAUAAAAAGACAUUUGAUAUACUAUUUCAGUAACAUUCAGCUUCUAAAACAGAAUAGUAUGGCCCUAUUACUGUAAAUUUAUAUAUUUGUAGAGAUACAUACAAAAAAGCCUAGAAGGGAUCUCCAUCAAAAUACUAUAAUUAUCUCUGGGUAGUGUGAUAACAAUUGACUUAAUAUUUUCUAAUUAUAUAUAUUUUAAUUUUUUUUUUUUACCAUCAGCACUCUACUUUUAUAAUCACAAAAAGAAAAGAUCUUUUUUUUUUUCUUUAAAGGACAAGAGCAUGGUAUUUCCUGAAAGAAGUAGUAGUAUUUAGAUUCAAAUUUUAGGUUCUAAAGAUUUCAUAGAAAAUGACAUGAGUACUGGUAAACAUAGAUACAGUACUAUAGAAUUCAAAAGUGAAAGAAAAAAAUUCAGAUUACUCUUAAUUAGCUAAGACAAAUUAACACAAACCUUUCUUUGUGGUUUAGGUAAAUCUGAAGCAGAUCAUGCUUAAAAGUUAUACCACAGCCAUCUUCACCUUAUUCUCUGAAUGUGUCCCUUUGCAGAUGCAGAGCAAAUUCGCUUUGGUUCAGUGUGGUGAGUCAGCCAUCAUCUAAAAUCCAUUUCCCUCUCUUAUUCUUGCUUCUAAACAGCUCUAUCCAAUAGAACUUUUUGCAGUGAUGCUGGCAUGGACUCUAUCUGCACCAUCCAAUAAGGUGGCUACUAGUAACACACAGUAUUGAGCACUUGCAAUGUGGCUUGUGUAACAGAAGAACUGAUUUUUUUUUAAUUUUAAUUAAUUAUUUUAUUUAAUUUUAAUUAAACUUAAAGAGCUACAUGGGCCUAGUGGCUACUUUAUUGGACAGCAUGGAUAAAGAAUAUUUCCAAAAUUUCUAGUAAUACAGCACAGUUUAGGAGACUAAAAUUGUGAGCCCCAAAUUAAGCUGAAUAAAUGGUUCCUCCAUAAUUCAGAGAUGUCAGAUUUAAAACAUCAGAUGUUUACAUGCCUUUUUAAUGGUAAUUUUGCCCCCUGGGGAACCCAGUAAGAUAUCACUGUUUUUGGUAAUGUAAAUAGUGUUUCUCACA